AUGACGAUGGACUCUAAAUUCAUGGGCUAUAGAGUUGAUUGGCUAAAGAAGUUCAUGUUCCUGGUGCAUUUCAUGGAUUGUCGGUCAUUAUAUAUCCUGGAUAUCGAGAAGAUUAUGAUGGUGCUUGACCCAACGGAGACAGAUCCAUCGGAUGAGAUGAAAAUCAAACAUGGGCCGCUAGCAAGGAAGUUUCAGCAGAAGUUAUGCACCUAUUCAGUGACAUGUUCGGAGCCGGGUUUGGUUGAGACCACUGGAUGGUCAUUUGUGUACCCUUUGGUGGCGCCGCACGAGCCAUGCAUUAGGCGUGUGUGA
rnacentral:rRNA from 1 species